UAUUGUUUUAUUAUUAUGAUAGAUCUAUAAACACGUAUAUUGUUUUAUUAUUUGUAUUGAAUGUUAUACCUAAGAUUAUGAUAGAUCUAUUACACGUAUAUUGUUUUAUUAUUUGUAUUGAAUGUUAUACCUAAGAUUAUGAUAGAUCUAUUACACGUAUAUUGUUUUAUUAUUUGUAUUGAAUGUUAUACCUAAGAUUAUGAUAGAUCUAUUACACGUAUAUUGUUUUAUGAUUUAUGUCAAUCUACAGAUAUUAAUAUUCACCAAUUUUUAUUUUUAUUUUUAAUAAACCUUAAUUUGCUGUUUCAAUGUUUUCAUUUCUCAAUGAUCCUUCAACUUGACAUAAAAGCCAAUACAUGUGCUUAUAUUUUAAUACAAAACUAAAAACAAAAACAAAAACCAAAGGGGGGGGUGUUCUCAUGUAAUAUGAAUACAUGAUGGAAUUUGUCUAUUAUGCAAAUGAUGCCCCAUGCCUUCAUUGUUUUAAUAUCCCCCACAACAUAUUUCUCAAUGACCUUUCAAAUGACAUAAAAGCCAUAAUACAAAAAAGGUUUUAUUACAUAAUAUGAAUAUUGCUGAUUAUGUACAAAUAAUAUCCCAUGCACAUGCUUCCACUGUAUUAAUACCCUCUAGAAUACAAUCAAACUAGACAAAUAUUCCUUCAGUUAAUCAUCUGACUGAGUCAUGCAUGCAUGAAGUCAAUUGCAAUUGUGUAUACUUCUCCAAAGCAUCUUUUAUAUAAAAUCCAAAUACAUUGUACCAUUAACUAUCAACUUCAGACUCAUUAAAAUGCUUCCAUUUUGAUGAGUGGGAUGAGAUAUGCUUGACAUCCUCCAGCUGAGAGAGAAUUUUCACUGUGGAGGUAAUAAUCAGACCUGGAGUACUGCAUGGUGGGAAUGGCAGAUGAGAAAGACUGUCACUCUCUUCACAAUAAAGGGUGAGAUUCAGAUGUGUAUUGUUUCUCAACAAUUUGCCUUCUCAAGUGUGUUUCAGCCUUCAACGUUUGGUACAGUAUUAGCGAUAUUAGAAGCUCCAUCAAGAUCAACAUAACCCUCACUGAUCAUUCACGGCAGCUAAUUAUUCUUGCCCAGUGGAUAUAUCAAUUAAUGAGAUCUUUUUUGCCAUGAUCAUUCAACAGAGUUUCAGCAUCAAUAUUGAAUCAGCCCAUGCAUUAAAUAUAAUAACAAGAGGUCCAUGGGCCACAUCACUCACCUGAGUCACAUUGGCCCAGCUUUUGUUCAGCUGUUGUGAUUUUUAAAAGAUUUUUUUUUCAAUCUUUAAUCCCAUGAAAAAAUUUAAAUGGUCGAUCUUGACUUAACUGAUUCAGAACAUAUAUUCACGCAACAAGGUGAUGCCUCAACACUAAUGACUAACAUGACCUUGCUGUUCUGGGAGAAGGUCAAGGUCACAUAGAUCAGUGGUAUAAAAUGAAAGGUUUUGCCAUAAGAAAUCUAUAUACAAAAUAUAAAAGCUCUAUUUUAGAUAGUUCAAGAGUCUAUUGAAUAGGUCAGAUUUCUAUAAUCAUUAAAUCAGUGUGUCCAUUUUUACUGAAAAACAGGGGACUGCAAGAUAACACAAGACUUGGGAAAGUUGUUAAUCUCUGUGAAUAUAUGUCUUUAUCCUGAUGGGGUUUUAUUAAGGUUGGUCAUCUCAUUCUUAAACCAGAUCACUGUGACCUAAGUUUUCGGGUCAUGACAUUCCUUUCUACAAAGACACAUCAACUAAAAAGAUUAGAUGAAUCAAACCAGACAGGCUUUUACUAUACAAAUCAUUCUUAAUGGAGAGCACUGCACCUAGUUUUAGUUUGCGACAUACCUUCCCCUACUCUGCAUAUCAGCUGACAAGGUUUCAUAAUUCUAUAAACACCCUUAGUGUACAAAUGAUGAGUGAUGAUUGUUUACAUACUUGGUCAAAAUAACUCUUAAAUAAGGUCAAUGUGACCUACCUAACAAACAGUACAGACAGCGUUACAGACACCUAGACCAGUGACACAGAGGAGCUCACAAAUACAGACAGCGGUACAGACAUCUAGACCAGUGACACAGAAGAUCUUAUAAAUAAAGACAGCAGUACAGACACCUACACCAGUGACACAGAAGAGCUCACAAAUACAGACAGCGGUACAGACACCUAGACCAGUGACACAGUGGUACAGACACCUACACCAGUGACACAGUGGUACAGACACCUAGACCAGUGACACAGCGGUACAGACACCUAGACCAGUGACACAGAUGAUCUUAUAAAUACAGACAGCAGUACAGACACCUAGACCAGUGACACAGAUGAUCUUCAUACACGCCAACUUUCCCGAUUUAGGCGGGAUCUUCCCGAUUUUACCCUCCGGUCCCGCUUUGCCGAUCGGGAAAGCAAAAUUACCCUAAAAUCCCGAUUUGAAAUUUUUUCCGACCAAAAUUUCCGAUUUCACGAUUGAAAACGAGUUUGAAAGCGGGAUAAUCGUGAAAUCUUGUGACCAGAAUUGGAAAUCCCGCGUCAUUUCUGAACUGGCCAAUCAGAAAUCGGGACAAUAGUCAGCCAUUGCUGUUUACCUGUGUCGCAUGGUGUCGGGUUGGUCUGCCUGUGUCGGGGUGUUUAUUGGACAGUACGAAGCAUGUUUUGAUAGUAAUUAAUCGGGAAGACGGAUUUCAAAUUGACCUAUCCUUUACACAAACGUGAAUGACAACGAUGCUAGUGUCACCACCAAACAAUCGGACAUUCCGCCUCUCGCUGACAGCAUCCAAAAUUUGCAAUAAGAUGUCAUGGGUGCAAAGGUUUUGUUCGCAAACUUCAUAGCAGGGCAGAUCACUCCUUUUUUGGUUGCAAUGCAGAUUAUUCCACCAGUCUCUGCAAGCCCAUGUUUACAGACAAGCAAGAUCGCCUUUGCAGUCGUACCUAAAUGCAUGUGCUUUAAUUUAAAUUUUGAUAUAUAGACCGGCCAAUGUUUAUUGUAUGGUGUAAAAGGAUGCAACCUUAAAUAUUAUUUGAUAUUAUGUAUGUGACUUGUUGGAGAAGAUUUUUUGCUGAAUAGAUGAUUUUAAUAAAAUAUUAAUGUAUA